CAGCUUCCGGGGUUCAAGUAAUUCUCCUGCCUCAGCCUCCCAAGUAGCUGGGGUUACAAGCUUAUACCACCAUGCCCAGCUAAUUUUUGUUUUUUAGUAGAGACGGGGUUUCACCAUGUUGGCCAGGCUGGUUUCGAACUCCUGACUUCAAGUGAUCUACCUGCCUCAGCCUCCCAAAGGGCUGGGAUUACAGGCGUGAGCCACCACGGCCAGUCCUUUUUUUUUUUUAAGACCGAGUUUCGCUCUUGUUGCCCAGGCUGGAGUGCAAUGGCAUGAUCUCAGCUCACCACAACCUCCACCUCCCAGGUUCAAGUGAUUCUCCUGCCUCAGCCUCCCGAGUAGCUGGGAUUACAGGCAUGCGCCACCACGCCCGGCUAAUUUUGUAUUUUUAGUGGAGACACGGUUUCUCCAUGUUGGUCAGGCUGGUCUCGAACUCUCAACCUUAGGUGAUCCACCUGCCUCGGCCUCCCAAAGUGCUGGGAUUACAGGCGUGAGCCACCAUGGCUGGCCCACGCCCAGCCUUUUUAAAAUUUUUGAAUAGAGAUGGGGUCUUGCUAUGUUGAUCAGGCUGGCCUCAAGCAAUCCUCCCAUCUCCACCUCCCAAAGUGCUGGGAUUACAAGCGUGAGGCACCAUGCCUGGCCUUUUGUUUCUAAUAAUUACUUUGCAAUUGUUGACAUGUUGCUUGUAAUCUUUUCAAGUCAUUUUAUGCAUUCAUUUGUCUCCCUGGCUAGACUGUGACCUCCUCAAGGACAGGGACUCUCAGUAUAUUUCCUUUGCUUCUCCUAAUGUGUUUUUUUUUUUUUUUUUUUUUUUGAGACGGAGUCUCACUUUGUCACCCAGGCUGGAGUGCAGUGGGACCAUGCUGGCUCACGGCAACCUCCGUCUCCUGGGUUCAAGCAAUUCUCCUGCCUCAGCCUCCUGAGUAGCUGGGAUUACAGGCGCCCACUACCACACCCGGCUAAUUUUUUAUAUUUUUAGUAGAGAUGGGAUUUCACCAUGUUGACCAGGCUGGUCUCAAACUCCUGACCUCAGGUGAUCCACCCGCCUUGGCCUCCCAAAGUCCAAAGUGCUGGGAUUACAGGCGUGAGCCACCAUGCCCUGCCUCCUUUUUUUUUUUUUUUUUUUUAGACAGAGUCUUACUCUGUCACCAAGGCUGGAGUGUGGUGGCGCAAUCUCAGCUCACUGCAACCUCUGUCUCCUGGACUCAAGUGAUUCUCGUGCCUCAGCCUCCAGAGUAGCUGGGACUACACGAAUGAGCCACCACACCCAGCUAAUUUUUGUAUUUUUAUUAGAGACAGGGGUUUCACCAUGUUGGCCAGGCCAGUCUCAAACUCCUGACCUCAAAUGAUCCAGUCACCUCGGCCUCCCAAAGUGCUGAGAUUACAGGCGUGAGCUACUGCACCCACCCUGUUUCUCCUAGUGUGCUUUUAAAGGUACUUUGGCUACUGCUAGUCCUAAUGAACAAAAAAAAACAUCGGUAAGAACCAGACGUUUUCAUUAUUGCUGCUUGUGUUCCCCGGCUUUCCCACUAAAAGUUUCCCUAAUUCUCUAUCAUAAUGAAGUGCUUAUCUCAUUUACAAUACGUAAACCUUUACAGUUUACUUGUGCUGUGGGAAUCCCUAUGAAAGGGGGUGGAAGAAGGGAGGAAGGCAAACGGCCCUUUAUUGGUCUUCAAAAGUUGGAAAGUCAUUAUCCAGCUGUGUGACCUUGGGAAAGUGACAUCAUCACUCAGUUUCUAUUCUUCAUUCAGUAAAAUGAGGUGACUGGGUUAUCUCGAAAAUCACAUCCCACUUGGUUUGAACCGUCUAAGCCUGACUGGUAUCUUUUAUUAACCAUCGCUCCCUGCUUGGAUGGUAACCUGGUUCCCUUCCCGUGGAUUAGCACUAUGCUUUCCAAGUAAGGUCAAUUGUAGGUGAAAUGACACCCACAGUAAACAGAAUUUGUCUCUGAUGACUCUCCUAUCAUCACAGUUAUUCUGGUCUAAUCUAUAUGUCCCAGUAAAGAUUUGCUCAUGUUUUCAAGGUAAAACUUCAGUCCUUCACAACCAGUGCCAAGUGUGGAUAUUCCAGAGGCCCCUAUAGAAGCAAGAAACCCAUUCUUAGGUAUUCCUCACUGUAAGGUAGGAGAGGGCAGAGAGAACUGAGAUUGGUUAGACUCUUUUCAUGGAACUUUACCAUAAGGGCUCUGAAUGACCCCAGACCAACUCUGGGGGCAUGGGAACUUCUACAUCACAAAACUAAAUAACGCCUUAGCUUACCUGUUUCUUCUAAUCUUAUUUCAGUCCUUUGGUUCUUUUCUGUUUUUUUUUGUUUGUUUGUUUUUUGACACAGGGGUCUCACUCUGUUGCCCAGGCUGGAGUGCAGAGGCACCAUCAUGGCUCAGUACAGCCUCAACCUCCCAGGCUCAAGUGACCCUCCCACCUCAGCCUCCAGAGCAGCUGGAACUACAGACAUACGACACCACUCCUGGCUAACUUUUUUAUUUUUGUAGAGUCAGGGUCCCACUAUGUGGCCCAGGCUGGUGUUGAACUCCUGGACUCAAGCGAUCCUCCCACCUCAGCCUUCCAAAGUGCUGGGAUUACAGGCAUGAGCCACUGUGCCUGGCCAUCCUUUUCCUUUUUUUUGAGAUGGAGUCUCACUCUGUCACCCAGGCUGGAAUGCAGUGGUGUGAUCUCGGAUCACUGCAAGCUCCGCCUCCUGGGUUCACGCCAUUCUCCUGCCUCAGCCUCCAGAGUAGCUGGGACUACAGGCACCCGCCACCACACCCAACUAAUUUUUUGUAUUUUUAGUAGAGAUGGGGUUUUCACCGUGUUAGCCAGGAUGGUCUCGAUCUCCUGACCUCGUGAUCUGCCCGCCUCAGCCUCCCAAAGUGCUGGGAUUACAGGCCUGAGCCACCGCACGUGGUCCCCCUUUUUUUUGAGACAGAGUCUUGCUCUGUCGCCCAGGCUGGAGUGCAGUGGCCUGAUCUUGGCUCACUGCAAGCUCUACCUCCCGGGUUCAAGCGAUUCACCUGCCUCAGCCUCCCGAGUAACUGGGACUACAGGUGCCCGCCACCACGCCCAGCUAAUUGUUGUAUUUUUAGUAGAGAUGGCAUUUCACCAUGUUGGCCAGGCUGGUCUCGAACUCCUGACCUCAGGUGAUCUGCUGGCCUCGGCCUCCCAAAGUGCUGGGAUUACAGGCGUGAGCCACUGCACCCGGCCCCUUUUCCUCUUUUUAUUCCCUUCUUUAUAGGUACAGUCUGAAGGUUCUCAUCCAGCUGGCUUUAUGUGCUUGGAAGUAGGUCUUUCUCUACAUCCUCCUUGACUGAGGACAGUCUCCAGCCUGAUUAUAAAUGGCAUCUUACCAUUUCCCUGGUCCUGAGAGAGCUCCAAGUGGUGGAGGGGAAGAUACUCUCUAAGGAGUAAGGCAGAGAGAAAACCAUCACCAGAUUUAUUUAUUUUUUUUAUUUUUUUUAUUUUUUGAGAUGGAGUCUUGCUCUGUUGCCCAGGCUGGAGUGCAGUGGCACGAUCUUGGCUCACUGCAAGCUCCGCCUCCCGGGUUCAUGCCAUUCUCCAGCCUCUGCCUCCCGAGUAGCUGGGACCACAGGCACUCACCACCACGCCCGGCUAAUUUUUUUGUAUUUUUUAGUAGAGACAGGGUUUCACCGUGUUAGCCAGGAUGGUCUUGAUCUUCUGACCUCAUGAUCCACCCACCUCGGUCUCCCAAAGUGCUGGGAUUACAGGUGUGAGCCACUGCGCCCGGCUUUUUUUUUUUUUUUUCUUUGAGACGGAGUCUCGCUCUGUCGCCCAGGCUGGAGUGCAGUGGCAUGAUCUCGGCUCACCGCAAGCUUCACCUCCCAGGUUCACGCCAUUCUCCUGCCUCAGCCUCCCGAGUAGCUGGGAUUACAGGCUCCCACUACCACGCCUGACUAAUUUUUUGUGUUUUUAGUAGAGAUAGCGUUUCACCAUGUUGGCCAGGCUGGUCUCAAACUCCUGACCUCAGGUGUUCUACCUGCCUCAGCCUCCCAAAGUGCUGGGAUUACAGAUGUGAGCCACCGCGCCCGGCCACCAGCUUUAUUUUUGAUAACCCAUUCAGGCCUGUGGUGAACAGGGCUGGCCAGAGCAAAGACUGAAGUCUGCAGUCAAAGCCUAACCCUUGUCCUGUGACUGUCAUCUAUAAAGACAGACUUGGUCCAUAAUUCCUCCAUUUUCCCCCUUUCUGCAUCUCAGCACUAGUAGUUGUUGAUUAAAUCAGGUGGCAAGUUGGCCAAACAAGCUCCACCUUUUGAUGUAUAUUUGGCAGCACCUCACGAAUCUUUCAUCAUCAACUGUAAAUACUAAAAAACUGUAAAUACUAAACAGAAAUAUUGAGGAGGAUUAGUCUCCCAGCAAAUAGGAAGAAGGGAAGCUCUUGUGAUGCAGGGUACACCUGGGAGCCUGCCAGUGAUGGUGCUGGGGUGGCUAGGACUGCUCUUUUUUCAUGGCCUGCCCUUAUCAGCUGUUAUCAUUUAUUUUUCCUCAGGAAGAAGUAGCCUCAGUGGCAAGAACAGAGUCUUGGGGAGCCCCAAGGCUAGGACAAUCAGCACAGACCUAGAAAGGAAUGAGUCGGAUCAGGAACAGAAGAGGCCAAAAUCAGAGUAAGAAACAAAGGGUCAGGAGCUGGGCACAGAAGCUCAUGCUUGUAAUCCCAGUGACUUAGGAGGCCAAAGUGGGAGAUCACUUGAGGCCAGAAAUUCAAGACCAGCCUGGGCAACAUAGUGAGAUGCUGUCUCUAAAAAAAAAUUUUUUAAACUUAGCCAGUCAUGGUUGUGCACACCUGUAGUCCCAGCUACUUGGGAGGCUGAGGCGGGAGAAUCGCUUGAACCCGGGAGGCAGAGAUUGCAGUGAGCCAUAAUUGUGCCACUGCACUCCAGCCUGGGUGACAGAGUGAGACUCCCAACUCUUUUUUUUUUUUUUUUUUUUUGAGAUGGAGGCUUGCUCUGUUGCCGAGGCUGGAGUGCACUGGCAUGAUCUCAGCUCACUGCAACCUCUGCCUCUCGGGUUCACGCCAUUCUCCUGCCUCAGCCUCCCGAGUAGCUGGGACUACAGGAGCCCACCACCACGCCUGGCUAAUUUUUUGUACUUUUAGUAGAGACGGGGUUUCACCGUGUUAGCCAGGAUGGUCUCAAUCUCCUGACCUCGUGAUCUGCCUGCCACGGCCUCCCAAAGUACUGGGAUUACAGGUGUGAGCCACCGCACCUGGCCUUUUUUUUUCUUUUUGAGAUGGAGUCUUGCUCUGUUGCCCAGGCUGGAGUGCAGUGGCGCGAUGGCUAACUGCAAUCUCCGCCUCCCGGGUUCAAGCGAUUCUCCUGCCUCAGCCUCCCAAGUAGCUGGGACUACAGGUGCACCCCACCAUGCCUGGCUAAUUUUUUUAUUGUUAGUAGAGACGAGGUUUCAUCAUGUUGGCCAGGAUGGUCUUGAUCUCCUGACCUCAUGAUCCUCCCACCUCAGCCUCCCAAAGUGCUGGGAUUACAGGGGUGAGCCACUGUGCCUGGGCAAGACUCCCAACUCUUAAAAAAAAAAAAAAAAAAAAGAGGCAGGGCUCAGUGGCUGACAACUGUAAUCCCAGCACUUUGGGAGGCCAAGGCAGGCGGAUUACCUGAGGUCAGGAGUUUGAGAUCACCCUGGCCAACAUGGCAAAACCCUGUCUCUACUAAAAAUACAAAAAUUAGCCAGGUGUGGUGGCGCCGGCCUAUAAUCCCAGCUACUCAGGAGGCUGAGGCAGGAGAAUCACUUGAACCCAGGAGACGGAGGUUGCAGUGAGCUGAGAUUGCACCAUUGCACUUCAGCCUGGGCAAGAGAGCGAGAUUCUGUCAAAAAAAAAAACCCUGAGAGCCGGGCACAGUGGCUCAUGCCUGUAAUCCCAGCACUUUGGGAGGCCGAGACAGGCAGAUCACAAGGUCAGGAGAUCGAGACCAGCCUGGCUAACACAGUGAAACCCCGUCUCUACUAAAAAUACAAAAAUUAGCCGGGUGUGGUGGCGGGCGCCUGUAGUCCCAGCUACUUGGGAGGCUGAGGCAGG
rnacentral:lncRNA from 1 species